AUAAGGGCGCACGGUGGAUGCCUUGGCACUAGGAGCCGAUGAAGGACGGGACUAACACCGAUAUGCUUUGGGGAGCUGUACGUAAGCUAUGAUCCAGAGAUUUCCGAAUGGGGGAACCCAACAUCUUUAAUAGGAUGUUACGAUUGUGUGAAUACAUAGCACAUUCGAGGUAGACGCAGAGAACUGAAACAUCUAAGUACCUGCAGGAAGAGAAAGAAAAUUCGAUUCCCUGAGUAGCGGCGAGCGAAACGGGAAAAGCCCAAACCAGCAAGCUUGCUUGUUGGGGUUGUAGGACUCCAAUAUGGUAGUUCUUUCAGAUAGUCGAAUGACUUGGAAAAGUCAGUCAAAGAGGGUAAAAACCCCGUAGACGAAAUGUGGAAGACACCUAGGAGGAUCCUGAGUACGGCGGAACACGAGAAAUUCCGUCGGAAUCCGGGAGGACCAUCUCCCAAGGCUAAAUACUCCCUAGUGACCGAUAGUGAACCAGUACCGUGAGGGAAAGGUGAAAAGCACCCCGGAAGGGGAGUGAAAUAGAACCUGAAACCGUGUGCCUACAACAAGUCAAAGCCCGUUAAUGGGUGAUGGCGUGCCUUUUGUAGAAUGAACCGGCGAGUUACGAUUGCAUGCGAGGUUAAGUUGAAGAGACGGAGCCGCAGCGAAAGCGAGUCUGAAUAGGGCGUUUGAGUAUGUAGUCGUAGACCCGAAACCAUGUGAUCUACCCAUGUCCAGGUUGAAGGUGCGGUAAAACGCACUGGAGGACCGAACCCACGUACGUUGAAAAGUGCGGGGAUGAGGUGUGGGUAGCGGAGAAAUUCCAAACGAACUUGGAGAUAGCUGGUUCUCUCCGAAAUAGCUUUAGGGCUAGCCUCGGAAUUGAGAAUGAUGGAGGUAGAGCACUGUUUGGACUAGGGGCCCAUCUCGGGUUACCGAAUUCAGAUAAACUCCGAAUGCCAUUCAUUCAUAUCCGGGAGUCAGACUGUGAGUGAU
rnacentral:rRNA from 1 species